GAUGAACGCUGGCGGCGUGUCUAAGGCAUGCAAGUCGAACGGACUGUUAUUUGUAGCAAUACUUAGAACAGUUAGUGGCAAACGGGUGCGUAACACAUUGGUAACCUGCCUCAAAGUCGGGCAUAAUCCCGCGAAAGUGGGACUAAUUCCACGAUAGUCAUCGAAGGUGAGAUUCCUUCGAUGUAAAGUCGCAAGACGCUUUGAGAGGGGCCUAUGGCCUAUCAGCUUGUUGGUGAGGUAACGGCUCACCAAGGCUAUGACGGGUAGGGGGUGUGAGAGCACGACCCCCCUCACUGGGACUGAGACACUGCCCAGACACCUACGGGUGGCUGCAGUCGAGAAUAUUCCCCAAUGGCCGAAAGGCUGAGGGAGCGACGCCGCGUGCA
rnacentral:rRNA from 1 species